CCAAAAACAUAGCCCUUAAUAAUAAAAAAUUAGAGGUGUAACCUGCCCAAUGAUUUAAUAAUAUUAUUUAAAUAAUAAAAAAAAAAAUUUAAUGGCUGCAGUAACCAUGACUGUAAAAAUGUAGCAUAAUAAUUCGCCACUUAAUUAGUGGAUAGUAUGAAUGGUUAAACGAAAAUUCCACUGUCUUAUAAAAUAUAAUAGAAAAUUUAAAUCAUAGUUAAGAUGCUAUGUAAAACUGUAAGACGAAAAGACCCUAUAAAGCUUAACUAUAAAUCUUAAUAAAAAACUUGAAACCAAAACAAUCAUUAAGAUUUGGUAGUUUCAUUGGGGCGAUGAUCUCUAAAAAUAAACAGAGAUAAACUUAUAUAAUAAUAUAAUUUUACUGUUUAAUUUAUAAAUUUAACAGUUACAAAGUAGAGUAUAAUGACCCAUUAUUUUAAUUAAUAAAAAAUAAUGAACAAUAAAUAAAAGCUACUUUAGGGAUAACAGGAUAAUAAUUUCUUAGAGACCUAAUCGAAGAAAAAGUUUAUCACCUCGAUGUUGAAUUAAGAUAACCUAAUGACGCAGCAGUAAUUAAAGGUAGGUC
rnacentral:rRNA from 1 species